CCUACGGGAGACUGCAGUGAGGAAUAUUGGUCAAUGGACGCAAGUCUGAACCAGCCAUGUCGCGUGCAGGAAGACGGCCCUAUGAGUUGUAAACUUCUUUUGUACGAGGGUAAACGCAGCCACGCGUAUCUUUCUGAGAGUAUCCGACGAAAAAGGAUCGGCUAACUCCGUGCCAGCAGCCGCGGUAAUACGGAGGAUUCAAGCGUUAUCCGGAUUUAUUGGGUUUAAAGGGUGCGUAGGCGGACGGAUAAGUUAGCGGUAAAAUCCGAGGGUCAAAUUCGUAAUUGCCUUUGAUACUGUUCGUCUAGAGAGUAGUUGCGGUAGGCGGAAUGUGUGGUGUAGCGGUGAAAUGCUUAGAGAUCAUACAGAACACCGAUUGCGAAGGCAGCUUACCAAGCUACUUCUGACGUUGAGGCACGAAAGCGUGGGGAGCAAACAGGAUUAGAUACCCCUGUAGUC
rnacentral:rRNA from 1 species